UACAGGGGGUGCAAACGUUGCUCGGAAUUAUUGGGCGUAAAGCGCGCGUAGGCGGCUACCUAAGUCGGAUGUGAAAGCCCCUGGCUUAACUGGGGAAGUGCACCCGAAACUGGGUAGCUAGAGUGCAAAAGAGGGUCGCGGAAUUCCCGGUGUAGCGGUGAAAUGCGUAGAGAUCGGGAGGAACAUCUGUGGCGAAGGCGGCCAUCUGGACCAGCACUGACACUGAGGCACGAAAGCGUGGGGAGCAAACAGG
rnacentral:rRNA from 1 species